rnacentral:lncRNA from 1 species
UUUUUUUUUUUCUUUUUUAACUACAAAUCAGAGACUCAGGUAGCACAAACUUUUGGAGGAAGUCUGCUGAGAAAUGCAUGGAGCUGGGGGCUUGGGAAGAGAGAAAUUUCUUCCAUUCUGAGUUACCUGUGAAAUAGGCUGCCUAGUUCCUAAAUGACCCAUUUUAGGUCUGUCUCAGUGUAGCCUUGCUUCUGGCCACUUGUCACAGAGCAGAAUUUCUGAGAGACUCUACUGCCCUUCUAUACUCUCCACUGAUAAAAAUAUUUAAACAGGAUGACUCAGAUGGACUUGGGAUAUGAGAACUAAAACCAUAAUGUCCUUCUACUUUUGAGUUGACUAGAAUACCCAAAAUCACAUUAGUAAAGAGUUGUACUUUGGACUCCACACUCUGUUAAAAGGCAAAUAUAGGUAAAGGGAAACAACCUUUAUUAGCCACUCACCUCUUGAAUAAGAGAGUGUCUUAUCAGAAUUCUUCCAGGAGUUCCCGUCAUGGCUCAGUAGUUAACGAAUCCGACUAGGAACCAUGAGGUUGCGGGUUUGAUCCCUUGGCCUUGCUCAGUGGGUUAAGGAUCCGGCAUUGCCAUGAGCUGUGGUGUAAUUUGCAGACGUGGAUUGGAUCCCGAGUUGCUGUGGCUGUGGUGUAGGCCAGCAUCUACAGCUCCAAUUCGACCCCUAGCCUGGGAACUCCAUAUGCUGAAGGAGGGGCCCAAGAAAUGGCAAAAAGAAAAAAAAAAAAAAACAAAAACAAACAAACAAAAAAACUCUUCCAAAGAGUAGAUCUUUAUAAGGAGAAUUAUGGAGAAUGAGCAAAAAUAGGGGUAAUCUUUCCAGAAAAGUAAAAUUGGAAGAAACAAAAACGAGGUGCACCUAUCUCCAAAUUUUGAAAGGAAUAAUAUUUUCCUGAUUUUCUGACUUUCUUUGCUAAAAAUUUUUAGAGUUUUCUUCUCCUAAACUUCUUCUUAAAUAUUCAGUUUUAAAAUAGUAUUUUUAUGGAGUUUCCAUGUUGCUCAGUAGGUUAAGGAUCUGGCAUUGUCACUGCAGUGGCUCAGCAAAUAAAUUAAAAAAAAAACAAAAAAAAAAACAAAACAGUACUUUCCCUAAAAAUAUCUUUUUUUUUUUUUUUUUNNNNNNNNNNNNNUUUUUUUUUUUUUUUUUUCGUCUAUUUAGGGCCCCAUCCACGGUAUAUGGAGGUUCCCAGGCUAGGGGUCCAAUUGGAGCUGCAGCAGCCGGCCUACACCACAGCCACAGCAACACAAGAUCCGAGGUAGGUCUGCAUCCUACACCACAGCUCACAGCGACAAUGGAUCCUUAACCCACUGAGCAAGGCCUGGGAUCAAAACCAUAUCCUCUUGGAUGCUAGGCAGGUUCAUUAACUGCUAAGCCAAGAUGGGAACUCCUAAAAACAUCUUUUAAUAAUAGGCAUUAUGAGAGGAAUAGAAAAAGAAAUAUAUGGAAAAUGCUUCCCAAUAGAUCUGAAGCUAUCAUUAAAAAACAAAACAAGUCUUUAAGCCAUUUUGAGUUUAUUUUCGUGCAUGGUGUGAGGCUGUGUUCUAGUUUCAUUGAUUUACAGGCAGCUGUCCAGGUUUCCCAGCAAUACUUGCUGAAAAGACUGUCUUUUUCCCAUUUUAUGUUCUUGCCUCCCUGUCAAAGAUUAAUGGACCAUAGGUGUCUGGGUUUAGUUCUGGGUUCUCUAUUCUGUUCCGUUGGUCUGCAUGUCUGUUUUGGGACCAGUACCACACUGUCUUGAUGACUGUGGCUUUGUAAUAGUGCCUGAAGUCUGGGAGAGAGAUGCCUCCUGCUUGGUUUUUGUUCCUCAGAAUGGCUUUGGCAAUUCUGGGUCUUUUGUGGUUCCAUAUAAAUGUUUGGAUUGUUUGUUCUAGGUCUGUGAAAAAUGUCACGGGCAAUUUGAUAGGGAUUGCAUUGAAUCUUCAAAAAAAAAAAAAAAGAAAUGUGACUGAUUUCUGAAUGUUAAUCUUAAAUCCUGCUACUUGGCUGAAUGUGUUGAUCAGUUCAAGUAGUUUUUGGGUUGAGUCCUUACGGUUUUCUACAUAUAGUAUGAAAUCAUCUGCAUACAGUGACAGUUUUACCUCUUCUCUGCCUAUUUAUAUGCCUUUUAUUUCUUUUGUUUGUCUGAUUGCUGUGGCUAAGACUUCCAGUACUAUGUUGAAAAACAGUGGUGAGAGUGGGCAUCUUUGUCUUGUUCCAGAUUUUAGUGGGAAGGCUUUCAGCUUUUCUCCAUUGAGUAUUGUUUUUGCUGUGGGUUUGUCGUAAAUGGCUUUAAUUAUGUUAAGGUGGGUUCCCUCUAUACCCACUGUGGUAAGAGUUUUGAUCAUGAAUGGAUAUUGGACUUUGUCAAAUGCUUUCUCUGCAUCUAUUGAGAUGAUCAUGUGGUUUUUGACUUUUCUUUUGUUAAUGUGUAACUGGGUCACCAUGCUGUACAGUAGGAAAAAAUAAUGUAUUGGGAAAUAACAAUUUAAAAAAAUUUUUUAAAAUUAAGUGAUUUGCUUAUAAACAAAAAACAAAACAAAGCAAAACAAGACAAAAGCUUGCGCUCAUUGCAUUUUUGCUGAGAAGAUCACUUUUCACAAGCAAAUCAGAAAAAAAUAAAAUUUAGAUAACAUGGGAGGCUUAUUAUAGUUUCCACCACAUAGACUAUACCAACAAUUUACAUAACGGCUCUUGGACACUAAGCUCUGGCAGCUAUAAUUUCUUAGAAGUUUAAUCCCAGUGUUUUUAUUUUUCUCCGUGCAUCUUCUUACAUUAUAGAUAAAACAUUACAAUUCAGAAACCACACUCAGAAACAAUCAAGUUAACCCAUAACUUCUGGAACAUUCAAGUUAACUCUUACUAUACUUCUGACUGGUAGAGGUAAUUUCUAAUUGUUGAGGAAAUUUGUCUUCUCCUUGUAGGUGUGGAAACUGCUCCUGAAUUUCACUGGCCAUCAGUGGUGACAGGGCUCAGAACUAAGACUAAGGCUUGGGUACCAGUUUAUCAAUUCUCCUCCCCUUCAUCAUGAAUCCCAAAGCACCUCAGAAGGGCAGCCAUUGUAUGUCCAAUGCCAUACAAUUCCCAUAUAGACUCCCAGGAGGGGGAAUGGUGGUCCUGGGAUGUGAGUACCACAACCCUGUACUUUCUGAAGCAAAACAAAAUGCAAUACAUCAACAUGAGGAGGCACUACCCAACAUUAUUUUUUAACUUAAAAUGUACCUCAGUAAAAUCAGAAUGUCAACCCAUGCAGUCUUUGCUCUUAACCAUUUUACUUAGCUCUCAUUCCCCAAUAAUAAAAUAGCAGCAUAUUUUGUAUAAUGUGAUACAUACAUUACUGAAAGUACCAUCAUUUCUCAAAAUCUGCUUUUCCUCCUAAGUUACUGAUGCUGGUUACUGACACAACCCAUCCAACCUAUCUAACUAAGCCAGAUACCUGCUUCUAAAUUCCCUAAGGCUAAUCAUUAUCACUAUUAAUCUGUCAAUUCUAUUUCCUGCAUGUCUCUCAGUCUUUCCUCUCCUGUCUACUGCUUCUGCUCUGGCCUUGUCCGCUCUCCCUGGGCCCCUGCAACAGCCUCCUCCAUGGAUGCCCUGUCACUUCUUUCACAUCCUUUAUCCAUUCUUUCUCCAAUGAGCCUAAAACACAACCUGAUUAUACUACUCUCACUGAUAAAACCCUCUUAUGAGGUCCCAUCCUCUAUACCAGGGCUUAUCAAAAUAUUUCACGAAUGUAUUCAUCAUUCUAAGGGUCUUUUAAAAAGUAAAGAUUUGUGGCUGCCACCCUGGCCUUACCCUACCAGAAUUUCUGGGAAUGGGGCCCAGGAAUCUGAAUUUUGAUAAACUCUCCAGGAGAUUUUUACAGCACGCAAGUUAGAGCAAUAGAGAUGUGAGAAGAAAUUCCACCUCCCAUUGAGGCUGCAAAGGUCCCCAGGAUCCGGUCUUACCUCCUCUCCUGCUGCCUCACGCGUGCUCUCCCACAACACUCAGUUGUGCUGCAGCUGCGCUAGGCCACUCGCAUUGCCUUUGCAUGUGUAGCUGUCUGUCUGUUCUGUCCUGUGCGCUCUGGCCAUCUUCUGAGGUACAUCUCCUAUACUGUCCACUCCGUGAGGCCCUCCUUGAAUACACCAUGCUAAGCCAAGUAAUCCUUUCCUUCUUUCUCCCUUUGCCCCAGGAUGAUACCUUCAGAUGGCACUGUAGCUAUUUGUUUACCUGCCUGCCUCCCUUGCUGCACUGAGAACUCCUUAAGAAGUAAAGCCUGUCUUUUUCAGAUUUUACCUUCAUUUCUUUUUCAGAUCUUACUCCACUGGAACAGAGAGAACACUGACCAAUUUUUGCUGCGUGAACAAUCUUGUGUUUACCAAGCUCUGUGAAACAGACAAUUCCACAUCAGGACAGAGCAGCAGGAGUGGGUAUCAUUAGAGAUGACUUUCAUAUCAAGAAAUGAAGCCUCAUCACAAACCACAACCAGGUCAUCCCUUUCCUGCCUAAAGUCAAAAAGACCUCUAAAACUUUUCCCACUGCCGCACUCUAGGUCAGUUAGGGUGAAACUUCUUGGCAAAGCUGCCUUUAGCAGUUUCUCUUUCCACACUGUAAAAGCUGUAGACGGAAAUUGAAACAAUGUUUGAAAUACAAGUCUGUGUAGUUAGCAUAGAAAGCUUGCAAUUAGAGAAAUAAACUGAGCCACUGACAGCAGGGAUGCUGGAUGUUGCAUUAAAUAGGCUGCUUUUGUAAACACAUGACAGAAGCUAACUUUAACCAGUCAAGUAAAAUGGAAAAUCUUCUAAUGAUACUAGGUAUUUUACGUAUCUCACACUUAAGAAUGCAGCUGGAGAUGAGGGACAUGCAGAACUGGGGGCGUGAACACACUGGCAAUCCCCCCACUUCUCAGCUUUGCUUCAUUCAUCACUUGCUACACAUACACACUAUGGAAAGCAUAGUUGCUGUAACUCCUGAGUUUCAGAUGUCAUAGUUGUAGACUCUAAAGAGAUCCUGACAGAACGCUCAGGGGAGCAGCUCAAUAACCUGAGUCAAUAGUUGAGUCAAUAGUCAAUAGUUGAGUCAAUGACUGCGUUUUCCCUGGUUAAUUCAGUAUGACAGGGACACCAUAGAACCACACUGAAAUGUGGGGCUCCAGCUAGUUAUUUGAAAGGCAGAGAUAAGCGGAGUCGGAAAUCUUUUAAGUGAUCACCGGAGAGAAUAACCUCACUGAAACUGGAAGCAAAGAGGAGAGUUUAAAUUGUGAGUGAUUCAGGUUGGAGAUGUGGAAUGGGACAAGUGAACAAGAAGGCCCGGGCCAGGACUAUGCCAGAGGCUGGGCCAAGAUCUCCCCUGGUGAAAGCCUUUAACAAUGCCAGAGUGAGGAACUGACAGUCAAGCUCAAGGUUAUCUGCAUAUUACAUAGCAUUCGUUGCUGUGCCUGCUAAAGUUAAAUAUUCAUGCUCUAAAUAAGAAAUUUGUUUCAGAGUAGUUUUAGUUUUUAACUAAAUCUUUGUGUCAUCUUUCUAAAGCUCUGAGAAGAGAAACAUCUUCUUUAAAGAGAGUAAACAGUUGCAUAAAACAGUAAGUUUAGACCCUGAUAUGUCUGGCUUUCCACUUGAACACCUCUACCAUUCAUGGGCUCUCGGACUAUGGAGAAAGUUCAGUUCUGACUGCCCCAGAGCCUUAGAUACUCCAUAUGUUUUUCUUAAUAAUGGCCACCUGUUAUGUAUUUUAGGUUAUUUAGUCCAAGUUGUAAUUGCCCAUCCUGCAACUAUUUGUUGAUAC